rnacentral:misc_RNA from 1 species
GAUGAAGAACGUAGCGAAAUGCGAUACGUAAUGUGAAUUGCAGAAUUCAGUGAAUCAUCGAGUCUUUGAACGCACAUUGCGCCCCCUGGUAUUCCGGGGGGCAUGCCUGUCCGAGCGUCAUUGCUGCCCUCAAGCACGGCUUGUGUGUUGGGCCUCCGUCCUCCUCCCGGGGGACGGGCCCGAAAGGCAGCGGCGGCACCGCGUCCGAUCCUCGAGCGUAUGGGGCUUCGUCACCCGCUCUUGUAGGCCCGGCCGGCGCUUGCCGACACAUCAAUCUUUUUUCCAGGUUGACCUCGGAUCAGGUAGGGAUACCCGCUGAACUUAAGCAUAUCAAUAAGCGGAGGA